UCCGGGGGUAGAGCACUGUUUCGGCAAGGGGGUCAUCCCGACUUACCAACCCGAUGCAAACUGCGAAUACCGGAGAAUGUUAUCACGGGAGACACACGGCGGGUGCUAACGUCCGUCGUGAAGAGGGAAACAACCCAGACCGCCAGCUAAGGUCCCAAAGUCAUGGUUAAGUGGGAAACGAUGUGGGAAGGCCCAGACAGCCAGGAUGUUGGCUUAGAAGCAGCCAUCAUUUAAAGAAAGCGUAAUAGCUCACUGGUCGAGUCGGCCUGCGCGGAAGAUGUAACGGGGCUAAACCAUGCACCGAAGCUGCGGCAGCGACACUGUGUGUUGUUGGGUAGGGGAGCGU
rnacentral:rRNA from 1 species